GGGCCCGCACAAGCGGUGGAGCAUGUGGUUUAAUUCGAUGAUACGCGAGGAACCUUACCAGGGCUUAAAUGUAAGUUGCAUAGAUCAGAGAUGGUCUUUUCUUCGGACUACUUACAAGGUGCUGCAUGGUUGUCGUCAGCUCGUGCCGUGAGGUGUCAGGUUAAGUCCUAUAACGAGCGCAACCCCUGUCGUUAGUUGCCAGCAAGUUAAGUUGGGCACUCUAGCGAGACUGCCGGUGCAAACCGUGAGGAAGGUGGGGAUGACGUCAAAUCAUCACGGCCCUUACGUCCUGGGCUACACACGUGCUACAAUGGCCGGUACAGAGAGCAGCCACUACGCGAGUAGGAGCGAAUCUUCAAAGCCGGUCUCAGUUCGGAUCGCAGUCUGCAACUCGACUGCGUG
rnacentral:rRNA from 1 species